GUUACAGACUUUGAGCAUUAACUUUACGACAUGAAACGACGUUAAGAUGAAGUCUCUACGACGACCAGAAUCCGAGAUAUAACAAUCUGAAGAAGUACAUCAAUGGUCAGAAUCACGAAGAAAUUCGAAUUCUGGCAGAUCAUAUAUCCGAAGAAAAAAAAGAAAAAAAUCCUUGAAUACAUGUUAGCUUAUUUCACGUAUAGAACCCAUAAUAAAUUUUA